AUCAUCUCCAUGCAUCAUUUAACAUCAUACCAUAUUUCAUUUAGAGAAAAUGAGAUUCUCAUCCUUAAUCUCUUCAUAUGCAGGUCCAACAGAAAAUAAAGGAAAACUGAAACAGAGAUAAGUACAACAAAUGGGAUUGAUGCGUUGGAUUUAGAAAUUGCUCAUUCUUAUUGGUUAGAGCAUCUUAUCUAAAAGCUCGAGUUAUGAUUGAAAAACUCUAUAUGUUACAUUAAUCCACAUCAUAUUUCAUACACAAUUGACUUAAAUUCAUGCUCUCAAUAACCAAAGAACCAUUGCUAUGAUACUGCAGAAUCAUUAUUUUUAAACGUGUGAACACUGAACACAUGAAAUACAUGAAUAGGCCAAAUUUCAUCAGCGUUUCAUACAUUAUAAUUUGCUAACCAUGAGUGAAAUGAGAGAAGGAUGUUAUUGCAUGACAAUAUUAGGCAAAUCAAGUUACCCACCAAUUAUGAUUAAAAAUAUAUUCUUACUAGUGUUCAAGGCUGGGACUGCCAACCCACACCGAAGCUUGACCCAGAAACAAGGAAGAUAGCCGCAAUAAAAUAACCCAAACAUAGUACUACUAAGCUGAGCAAAGCGAGGAUUCCCUCUUUG
rnacentral:misc_RNA from 1 species